GGAUAUGAAGGCAACCUGGCUGUGACAUCUGUCGCCCCACUGGUCACCAGGGUUCAUUCAGCGUAUCUGGCUGGCGAGGCAGGUGUUCCCUUCCUAAGGCUCCGUGUGUGUUGCUGCCAAAGCCCUGUGAUGGAUCAGAUCCUUCCUUGAUGAGGAGGACCAUACUUUGGUCAAGGAUAUACAGGUAGCUGUGCUUCCUUGCUAGAAUCUUGAAACAAGCUCUUAAAACACCAUUAAGAUUAAGAAAACUUAAAGAGAAAACAAACACCUAACUAGCUUUGAGAUUAUCCAUAUUU
ensembl:misc_RNA 7SK 7SK RNA